CUUAGCUUUUUAUCUCUCUGUGUAUUUUUUUAUUAUUUAAUUUACUCUGUUCAUCUUCUGCUUAUAUGGUACAGUGGCAUAACAAAACCUGUUUUUCUAUCUUUAAAUGCUUAAGGAAGAAAGUAUGAAAUAUGAUUCUUACAAUAGAUUUUUCAGGCUUCUUUUUUAUGGGUGUGAGAAGAAUUCUUUGUGACAGCAGAUUUAGGGAAGAGGAAAGAGGCAGGAAAAGGGAUAAGUGCUGAUGAGAUUGAUUGUUGCUACUGAACAGUAAAAAAUCUGGGCUUGGGGAUGGCAGAGAGAAGCAGUGUUCUGGACAAACCUCGAAUAUUGCUCUGUAAAGCAGAAAACCUAAAUUAAUCCUGUGUUUGAUUUUAGAUUUGUGGCUUGUAAAGACUAAAAGUACAAUUUUACAUUUUUUCCUUUCCGUAUAUGACAAGCUGAAGCUUAAGUAUUCCCUCUUAUGCCUUUAAAUAAUUCAGGCUUGUCUCUGAGGGGAAUACAGCGGGUGUGCCAUGGUCCCUCUGCUCGCCAUGGCGAUGCUCUCCGGAGCACUGUGAGCUGCCAGGACUGCAGUGCCCAGGCCGUGCCACCCUGCCAGGAGCAGGGCUGUGUCUGUGGGAGGGAGCCCGGAGCACUGUGAGCUGCCAGGACUGCAGUGCCCAGGCCGUGCCACCCUGCCAGGAGCAGGGCUGUGUCUGUGGGAGGGAGCGGGGUGCGGAGCGCCAUGAGGGGAGCGCAGGCCGCGCACCGGGCCGGGCACUGGGCCAGGGCUCUGUGGGAGCUGCGCUGACACUGGGCCCUGUGUGCCCUCCAGGCCCUCUCCAGGGACAGCCAAUGUCUGGCACUGCUGCGUAAUUGCAUCAAUUGCACGCCGAGUACCUGCGGCAGCUGCUUUGCAGGUCCCCUGCUGUGCGAAUCGCCCUUCACAGAGGCAGAUCUUCCUGUCAGCGACUGACAAGAGGUGCCAGGAGCAGGCUACGAGACUUUUGAAACCUGAACUGUGUUUACAACAGCCUAAACAAGGAGAAAAUAUUCUUAGUACUAAACAGCUCUUGUUUUUCUUCUCCAAAGAAAUAAAGAUGCCUUUCAUAUUUUCUGAGACUGACAAUGUUGAAGAGGCUAAGAUACAGGAUAAAUUGAAGGAAAGAAGGAAGAGACUUGCUGUACCUACCAUGUUCUUUAGGGAAAGUUAUGGGAUUUUUAGGUGGGACUGGGAAUGCACCAGACAGUCCUCUCUCCUCAAUGUACAGUUGAAGGAAAAGGGUCUGGAGGGGUUUAGAAACUUGGUUUAGUUACUGAACCAUCUUAAAGAGGUUUAAAAUCAGCCCUAAGUGAAAGCACUUUGCAGAAGAAGGUGUAGCUCUCAGGCAAAACAACACUUGAAUCAAAUGCAGAAUAAAUAGCCUGAGUAAAGGACACAGAAUUUGGUCCACUGUGAUCAUUUGAUCUGAGUGGCUUAAGGCUUUGCAUGCUUCAUACUUGCAAACCAGCUGUGAAAUGCAGGAAAUACAAGUAGCCGUGGUCUGACAUUUCCCCAUCUGUUCCCAAUAUUUAAUAAUUUGCUCUCUUCUCUGAGCAUAUUAAGUUUAUUUAUAAAUUUUUAAAAUGUGUUUUAUUUUAUAUAAUGAGCUUAAAGCUAUAAUGGCCUUUUUGCUCCAAAGGGCUCAAAGCACUCUCCUUUGCCAGAUGGAGGGUAUUAAUUUUUCUGGAGGAUUUUGUGUAUAAGGUACAGAUGGACAAGACACAGUUUUAGCACACCAGGCUUUUGCCUUGUUGUUCUGUGUGUGUUUCUAUUCUCUAGAGCUUCUGUGCAGUGAAUGUUUUGAAAGGCUAAAUUCUUUUUUGCUUUGCUCUGAGGAUGAUGGAGAGUGAGAAGUAAACCCUGGUUCUCACAGCUGAGAUCAGUGCCUUAUCAGCCAUAAAAAAAAUCCUUCCCUUUGAAAAGAUUGCUAAGAAUUAUCCUCACCAUCAGCAGGAAUUUUGCUGUUGAGCUGAACAGCACUAAACACACCUAAACCAAACUUCAGCCAAGAACAGCUUUUAAAAUAUUUUAGGAAAGUCUUGUUUUUACAUAUGAGAUUAUAUAUUAUAUGGAGAAGAAAAAGAUACUGGAUCUAAAUG
rnacentral:lncRNA from 1 species